GUGGCCGUGCACGGGAGCCCGAUGAGUCGGGCUGAGAGGGAGUACUCGAACUCCGACCGUUGAACCUGAUCUGGGUAAUGCCAGCGAAGGGAGUCAACCCACCCGUGCCG
rnacentral:ncRNA from 1 species